GAGUUUGAUCCUGGCUCAGGACGAACGCUGGCGGCGUGCCUAAUACAUGCAAGUCGAACGAACUCUGGUAUUGAUUGGUGCUUGCAUCAUGAUUUACAUUUGAGUGAGUGGAGAAANUGGUGAGUAACACGUGGGAAACCUGCCCAGAAGCGGGGGAUAACACCUGGAAACAGAUGCUAAUACCGCAUAACAACUUGGACCGCAUGGUCCGAGCUUGAAAGAUGGCUUCGGCUAUCACUUUUGGAUGGUCCCGCGGCGUAUUAGCUAGAUGGUGGGGUAACGGCUCACCAUGGCAAUGAUACGUAGCCGACCUGAGAGGGUAAUCGGCCACAUUGGGACUGAGACACGGCCCAAACUCCUACGGGAGGCAGCAGUAGGGAAUCUUCCACAAUGGACGAAAGUCUGAUGGAGCAACGCCGCGUGAGUGAAGAAGGGUUUCGGCUCGUAAAACUCUGUUGUUAAAGAAGAACAUAUCUGAGAGUAACUGUUCAGGUAUUGACGGUAUUUAACCAGAAAGCCACGGCUAACUACGUGCCAGCAGCCGCGGUAAUACGUAGGUGGCAAGCGUUGUCCGGAUUUAUUGGGCGUAAAGCGAGCGCAGGCGGUUUUUUAAGUCUGAUGUGAAAGCCUUCGGCUCAACCGAAGAAGUGCAUCGGAAACUGGGAAACUUGAGUGCAGAAGAGGACAGUGGAACUCCAUGUGUAGCGGUGAAAUGCGUAGAUAUAUGGAAGAACACCAGUGGCGAAGGCGGCUGUCUGGUCUGUAACUGACGCUGAGGCUCGAAAGUAUGGGUAGCAAACAGGAUUAGAUACCCUGGUAGUCCAUACCGUAAACGAUGAAUGCUAAGUGUUGGAGGGUUUCCGCCCUUCAGUGCUGCAGCUAACGCAUUAAGCAUUCCGCCUGGGGAGUACGGCCGCAAGGCUGAAACUCAAAGGAAUUGACGGGGGCCCGCACAAGCGGUGGAGCAUGUGGUUUAAUUCGAAGCUACGCGAAGAACCUUACCAGGUCUUGACAUACUAUGCAAAUCUAAGAGAUUAGACGUUCCCUUCGGGGACAUGGAUACAGGUGGUGCAUGGUUGUCGUCAGCUCGUGUCGUGAGAUGUUGGGUUAAGUCCCGCAACGAGCGCAACCCUUAUUAUCAGUUGCCAGCAUUAAGUUGGGCACUCUGGUGAGACUGCCGGUGACAAACCGGAGGAAGGUGGGGAUGACGUCAAAUCAUCAUGCCCCUUAUGACCUGGGCUACACACGUGCUACAAUGGAUGGUACAACGAGUUGCGAACUCGCGNAGAGUAAGCUAAUCUCUUAAAGCCAUUCUCAGUUCGGAUUGUAGGCUGCAACUCGCCUACAUGAAGUCGGAAUCCCUAGUAAUCGCGGAUCAGCAUGCCGCGGUGAAUACGUUCCCGGGCCUUGUACACACCGCCCGUCACACCAUGAGAGUUUGUAACACCCAAAGUCGGUGGGGUAACCUUUUAGGAACCAGCCGCCUAAGGUGGGACAGAUGAUUAGGGUGAAGUCGUAACAGGGUAGCCGUAG
rnacentral:rRNA from 2 species